ACCAAGCUCGACCUCAGAUCAGGCAGGAGUACCCGCUGAACUUAAGCAUAUCAAUAAGCGGAGGAAAAGAAACCAACAGGGAUUGCCCCAGUAGCGGCGAGUGAAGCGGCAAAAGCUCAGAUUUGGAAUCGCUUCGGCGAGUUGUGAAUUGCAGGUUGGCGCCUCUGCGGCGGCGGCGGUCCAAGUCCCUUGGAACAGGGCGCCAUUGAGGGUGAGAGCCCCGUGGGACCGUUUGCCUAUGCUCUGAGGCCCUUCUGACGAGUCGAGUUGUUUGGGAAUGCAGCUCUAAGCGGGUGGUAAAUUCCAUCUAAGGCUAAAUACUGGCGAGAGACCGAUAGCGAACAAGUACUGUGAAGGAAAGAUGAAAAGCACUUUGAAAAGAGAGUGAAACAGCACGUGAAAUUGUUGAAAGGGAAGGGUAUUGCGCCCGACAUGGAGCGUGCGCACCGCUGCCCCUCGUGGGCGGCGCUCUGGGCAUGCUCUGGGCCAGCAUCGGUUUUUGCCGCGGGAGAAGGGCGGCGGGCAUGUAGCUCUUCGGAGUGUUAUAGCCUGCCGCCGGCGCCGCGAGCGGGGACCGAGGACUGCGACUUUUGUCUCGGAUGCUGCACAACAGGCGCAAC
rnacentral:rRNA from 1 species